GCAGUCUGCAACUCGAGUGCAUGAAGCUGGAAUCGCUAGUAAUCGCGGAUCAGAAUGCCGCGGUGAAUACGUUCCCGGGUCUUGUACACACCGCCCGUCACACCAUGGGAGUCGGGAAUGCCCGAAGCCGGUGGCCCAAUCGUAAGAAGGGAGCCGUCGAAGGCAGGCCGGAUGACUGGGGUGAAGUCGUAACAAGGUACC
rnacentral:rRNA from 1 species